rnacentral:tRNA from 1 species
GCCGACGUCGCAUAACCUGGCAUUGCGCUAGCCUUGAGAGCUGGUUCCCGCAAGGGUAUCUCGGUUCAAAUCCGGGCGUCGGCG